CCUACGAGUGGCUGCAGUGAGGAAUAUUGGUCAAUGGGCGCGAGCCUGAACCAGCCAAGUAGCGUGAAGGAUGACUGCCCUACGGGUUGUAAACUUCUUUUAUAUAGGAAUAAAGUUAGGCACGUGUGCCUUUUUGUAUGUACUUUAUGAAUAAGGAUCGGCUAACUCCGUGCCAGCAGCCGCGGUAAUACUGAGGAUCCGAUCGUUAGCCGUAUUUAUUGGGUUUAAAGGGAGCGUAGAUGGGUUGUUAAGUCAGUUGUGAAAGUUUGCGGUCAACCGUAAAAUUGCAAUUGAUACUGGCAGCCUUGAGUACAGUUGAGGUAGGCGGAAUUCGUGGUGUAGCGGUGAAAUGCUUAGAUAUCACGAAGAACUCCGAUUGCGAAGGCAGCUUACUAAACUGCCACUGACAUUGAUGCUCGAAAGUGUGGGUAUCAAACAGGAUUAGAUACCCCAGUAGUC
rnacentral:rRNA from 1 species